rnacentral:lncRNA from 9 species
GUUGACUAAGAAUAUGAAACCAAUGACAUAUGUCGAAGGGUGUCUCUGAGGGAGAAGGUCACAGACCAACGAAUGCCAGAGAACCUGAAAGCACCAGCAAGAACCAUGGCUGCCCAGAUGAGCCUCAUCUAUACAGUGUGGGAGCAACAUCCCUGCUCACCUCUGGUCUCCAUCCUCCAUCCAUCCAGCACUCUCAAGCCUCAAGGCUACCCCACCAUUGCUGUACAUCUGGUCAAGCCCCAACCCAUCCUUGACUUCUGCUUUCCCGAAGAGUCGCCUGCAAACCUUAAAAUGACCUUCAAAGAAAAUUAAUCUCUGCCCAUAAACAAUCACUGCUUCUAGGAUUCCAUAUAUGUUUUCUUAGAGUUGCAGUAUUGGCCAAAUAGUGUUUUGGGGAGGUUUUUUGGUUUUGUGUUUUUGUUUUUGUUUUUUACCUGCAUUCAUGGCAUGUGGAAAUUCCUUGGCCAAGGGUCGAACCUGAGCCACAGCAGUGACAAUGCCAGAUUUUUAAACUGCUGCAUGCAGAGUAACUCCAGAACAAUUUUAUCUUAGCAACAAAAAUUCAAAGCCAAAAUUCCCCACAGUCUCAUCCAUUUGUAUACAUCCGUGGUAUCUGCUAGUCCUUGUUCAUAUGCUCAGUUCGUGUUUACAGACUUGCAGUAAUCUUGAUAGAAUUUUUAUGUUCCUAUUUUACCUAACAUGAUAUAGCAAAUGAUCUUCUGUUUUGUUAGUAACAUUGCCAGAUCAUUUCCCCAAAGUGUUGCUGCAAUUCACGUUUCUACCAACAAAGUGCAAGAGUGUCUGAUUUCAUGUAUUCUCACCAUCCACUCUCAUUUUAGCCAAUCUGACGAGUUUUUGGUUUUUUAAGAGGGAUACCUCAGUUUAUUCACGUUUCUUAGUUCUUUGAGUUUCUCUUCCUAGGAAAAGCCUACUAAAUCCCUUCUCUUCUCUAUUUUUCUAUUGGAUUGUUUGUUGUUCUUCCCAAGUUGAGGGUCUUUGUGUAGUGAGGAUUUUAACCCUUCCUCUGCCAUAGGCAUUGCAAGUACUCCCCCAUUACAGAUCUCUCAGUAUCCCCGCCCCUACCCUUAGUCCUGAGUCAGAAAAUGAAACAGCACUUGUCAAAACACAGAAUGCAUCCAAUUUCCUGCCUCCUGGAGCACCUGGCCCCUCCAUACAUCUCCUCCUCAACAGGUUAACACUCUUCAAAGUGGAGUGAUGCUUCAGUGUCUUUGUUGGUGUCAAAGGCUGGGAGGGAAAGGCCAAAG